rnacentral:rRNA from 1 species
UACGAAGGGGGCUAGCGUUGUUCGGAAUUACUGGGCGUAAAGCGCACGUAGGCGGAUAUUUAAGUCAGGGGUGAAAUCCCAGAGCUCAACUCUGGAACUGCCUUUGAUACUGGGUAUCUGGAGUAUGGAAGAGGUAAGUGGAAUUCCGAGUGUAGAGGUGAAAUUCGUAGAUAUUCGCAAGAACACCAGUGGCGAAGGCGGCUUACUGGUCCGGUUCUGACGCUGAGGCGCGAAAGCGUGGGGAGCAAACAGG